rnacentral:rRNA from 1 species
CCUACGGGGGGCUGCAGUGAGGAAUAUUGGUCAAUGGACGCAAGUCUGAACCAGCCAUGCCGCGUGCAGGAAGACGGCUCUAUGAGUUGUAAACUUCUUUUGUACGAGAGUAAACGCAGGUACGCGUAUCUGUCUGAAAGUAUCUUACGAAUAAGGAUCGGCUAACUCCGUGCCAGCAGCCGCGGUAAUACGGAGGAUGCAAGCGUUAUCCGGAUUUAUUGGGUUUAAAGGGUGCGUAGGCGGGCGGAUAAGUUAGAGGUGAAAUCCCGGGGCUCAACUUCGGAAUUGCCUUUGAUACUGUUCGGCUAGAGAGUAGUUGAGGUAGGCGGAAUGUGUGGUGUAGCGGUGAAAUGCUUAGAGAUCAUACAGAACACCGAUUGCGAAGGCAGCUUACCAAGCUACUUCUGACGUUGAUGCACGAAAGCGUGGGGAGCAAACAGGAUUAGAUACCCCUGUAGUC